rnacentral:rRNA from 1 species
UACGUAGGGUGCAAGCGUUGUCCGGAAUUAUUGGGCGUAAAGAGCUCGUAGGCGGUUUGUCGCGUCUGCUGUGAAAACUCAGGGCUUAACCCUGAGCCUGCAGUGGGUACGGGCAGACUAGAGUGUGGUAGGGGAGAUCGGAAUUCCUGGUGUAGCGGUGGAAUGCGCAGAUAUCAGGAGGAACACCGGUGGCGAAGGCGGAUCUCUGGGCCAUAACUGACGCUGAGGAGCGAAAGCAUGGGGAGCGAAC